rnacentral:lncRNA from 1 species
AUAACCUUUGCCUGUAAAACUGCUCUUUGCCCCCUGGUGGUGAAAGCAUUAUUAUUAAUUUUUUAAAAGUUAAACGACUUUAAUUACAGAGUCUUGGCACUAAAAAUCCUUUUGUGACUAAUUGGAGCCUUUGUAUAUGAGGAAAAUACAACCAUUGCUGUGCUCCAGCUGAAUUGAAGACUAAGAAGGAGAGACUAUCCUCUUUGGUUGGUUAAAGGAAAAAGGAGAAAAACUAAUUUUCAAAUUUUAAAAAGUGAUUCAAGUGAGUUACUAGAAACCUUUGAAAAACUAAUACAAUCUUGGAACUGUGGAAGACGUUAGAAGAAAGAAAUUUUAACGUGGAUUCUUUCAUGAAACAUUAAAGCCUAUAUAAAGCCAAAAACAUAAUUAUCAGAAAAUACAGAGCUGUUUCAGGGGACCUGGACCAGAACAAGCAGGGACCUCAUUUCAGAGUGGACAAGUGUCAUUGGAACUGAGCAGGCUGAAGCUUCAAGAGCAAUACCUUAUGGCAGUGAGAAGCAAUAGCGGUCCUCCGGUUCUGUUUUAGCUUGGCCUGGGAAAGAGACUUUCAAUGCAGUAAGUCCCUGGGGUUGUUGGACAAUGUGAGAGUAGAACUCAAGAGGGAAACACUAGACUGUCUGCUAAAAGAUCAGACCAAAACCCCUAAAUCUGUGGCAAUAUGGCGCCGGGGUCAAAAGUUAUAUUGCAUUUAAUCCAAUGAUCAAAUUAGGAGAAAGGAUAAGUGUUGAGAUAUUAUGUAAAAGCAAUGCUUAAGAUUAUUACUUUCAUCUUACUUUGAUGUUCUACUCAUCAAAUAAACAGUAAGCUAAUUUAGAGACUUCAUAAAGAUGACAUUCACUUUAAGGAAACUGAUAUAUCAAAAAGCAAACUAAAAAACUGUAGUAG